rnacentral:rRNA from 1 species
UGAGGAAUAUUGGUCAAUGGGCGAGAGCCUGAACCAGCCAAGUAGCGUGCAGGAAGACGGCCUUAUGGGUUGUAAACUGCUUUUAUAUGGGGAUAAAGUGAGCUACGUGUAGCUUAUUGCAGGUACCAUAUGAAUAAGGACCGGCUAAUUCCGUGCCAGCAGCCGCGGUAAUACGGAAGGUCCAGGCGUUAUCCGGAUUUAUUGGGUUUAAAGGGAGCGUAGGCCGCCCCUUAAGCGUGUUGUGAAAUGCCGCGGCUCAACCGUGGCACUGCAGCGCGAACUGGGGGGCUUGAGUGCACGCAACGCAGGCGGAAUGCGUUGUGUAGCGGUGAAAUGCAUAGAUAUGACGCAGAACUCCGAUUGCGAAGGCAGCUUUCCAGCGCGCUACUGACGCUGAGGCACGAAAGCGUGGGGGAUCG